GCUGGCGUAGCUCAAUUGGUAGAGCACCUGCUUUGUAAGCAGGGGGUUGCGGGUUCGAGUCCCAUCGCCAGCUCCA
rnacentral:tRNA from 1 species